UGCAUUUGGGUGAUAAACAUUUAGCUUUACCUGCAGCAAACAUCAUCAGCCAUUAACUUUUUUUCCCUUUGUACAUUGUCACAAACAGCAGUGGUGGCCACCAGAGCCUCAGCUGGCAGUACUUAUUCAUUCUCCCACAGAAACUGAAAUGGCACGGGUGACGGUGGGCUCUGGAUGAAGCGGCGGGGGUCCCCAGGCAGGGAAGCCUCUGACCCAUCUCAUAAGGGCCACCGAGGCCGUUGAUCUCAGUCCCUCCCCACUCAGGCUAUGUGGAAGCCCUCGGUGACUGAACACACAGCCACAGACCCUGUCAGGUCAUCUGCUCCCAAAACUACAUAGCUCCCAAGACUUCCCCAAUGAGCUGGAACCUUCUGCUGACACAGAGGUCACGCCUGCCUAACUCUGUUUGGGAAAGCUGCCAAGACAGGGCUUUCUCGUGUCUUGUGUGACAUCUCACGGCCUUUGUGGUGCUGUCUGGCAUCUAGAAAGCCUGGCGCAUGCUCUGGCCUGCAGCUUAAGCGCACUGGGGAAGAAGGGCUAGGCUGCCAUCAGUCUCUGGACCUUGAGAAGACUCUCUCCAGGAGCAGGGGACUCUGUGACCUUCUGCAAGUGGGCCCUACCUGACCUUUGCCCAGAAAGAUGCAACUCCCCAGGCCAAGCCCACAGUGACAUCUAUCUGCACAGGGAAACGGACUCCACAGUCCCUGAGGCCAACCACGUUCCCGCCCCACCUCCGAAGACCAAGUCCAUUUACCUGCAAAUCUUGCUUCCAGCUCUUCGCUCUUAUUGGGGAUGAUGUAA